GGGUCUUAACGGCAUUUCACUGCCGGUUUCAUGGCACUCAGCACAGCCGCUGGCGGCUCCGCUCUCCCGCCUCCCCGCGACAGGCCCAUCCAAGAGGAGGCAAAGGAGAUGACUCUGCCAUCUUAACAGCUGCAUAGUAUUCCACGGUGGACAUACACCACGGCGUUCUUAGCCACCCAUCUUUCGUUGGGCAUCUAGGUUGCUUCCAGAUGUGGCUGAUACGCGUGGUGCUGCUGUGAGCACAGACGCACACAAGCCUCUGUGGACGGGCGUCCUCGCUUCCUUUUGACAUCCUCUCUCGAGAGAAGCGCCAAGUCAUAGUGCAGGUCCACGUCUCGCCUUCUGGGAGUUUUCCAGGCAGAUCCCUUACAUCCCUGCCAGCUCUACAGAAAGAGGAGCUUGUUCCCCACAGCCUCGCCAACAGGCAGCGUUUCUGUCUCUUCUAAAGGACGGCAUUCUCACAGCUGUGGCGUGGUGUCUCAUGGUUGUUUUUAUUUGCACUUUUCUGAUCACCUGUGAAUUGGAACAGUUUUUCACGUACUUGUCAGUCAUUUGGGUCUCUCUCCUUUUGUGAAGAUUCUGCUCACAUCCUCGUCUCAUG